AGUCGAGGGGCAGCGGUGGUGAAGGCUUGCCUUUACCAGCCGGCGACCGGCGCACGGGUGAGUAACACGUAUGCAACCUGCCUGCCACAGCCGGAUAAUCGGGAGAAAUCCCGUCUAAUACGGCAUAAUGCACCUAUGGGACAUCCUGUUGGUGCCAAAGGUUAAUUCCGGUGGCGGAUGGGCAUGCGUCGCAUUAGUUAGUUGGCGGUGUAACGGACCACCAAGACGACGAUGCGUAGGGGUUCUGAGAGGAAGGUCCCCCACACUGGUACUGAGACACGGACCAGACUCCUACGGGAGGCAGCAGUGAGGAAUAUUGGUCAAUGGGCGGGAGCCUGAACCAGCCAAGUCGCGUGAGGGAUGACGGCCCUAUGGGUUGUAAACCUCUUUUGCCGGGGAGCAAAGUGCCGCACGUGUGCGGUUUGGAGAGUACCCGGAGAAAAAGCAUCGGCUAACUCCGUGCCAGCAGCCGCGGUAAUACGGAGGAUGCGAGCGUUAUCCGGAUUUAUUGGGUUUAAAGGGUGCGUAGGCGGACGCUUAAGUCAGCGGUAAAAUUGCGGGGCUCAACCUCGUCGAGCCGUUGAAACUGGGUGCCUUGAGUGGGCGAGAAGUACGCGGAAUGCGUGGUGUAGCGGUGAAAUGCAUAGAUAUCACGCAGAACUCCGAUUGCGAAGGCAGCGUACCGGCGCCCAACUGACGCUGAAGCACGAAGGCGUGGGUAUCGAACA
rnacentral:rRNA from 1 species